GGACGAACGCUGGCGGCGUGCUUAACACAAUGCAAGUCGAGCGGUAAGGGCCCUUUCGGGGGUACACGAGCGGCGAACGGGUGAGUAACGACGUGGGUGACCUGCCCUCAGCUCUGGGAUAAGCCUGGGAAACCCGGGUCUAAGUACUGGAUAUGACGUCCAUGACGCAUGUUGUGGGGUGGAAAGCCUUGUGCGGCUGAGGAUGGGCCCGCGGCCUAUCAGCUUGUUGGUGGGGUGANGGCCUACCAAGGCGACGACGGGUAGCCGGCCUGAGA
rnacentral:rRNA from 1 species